rnacentral:rRNA from 1 species
UACGAAGGGUGCAAGCGUUAAUCGGAAUUACUGGGCGUAAAGGGCGCGUAGGCGGCGCUGUAAGUCACUUGUGAAAUCUCUGAGCUUAACUCAGAACGGCCAAGUGAUACUGCAGUGCUAGAGUGCAGAAGGGGCAAUCGGAAUUCUUGGUGUAGCGGUGAAAUGCGUAGAUAUCAAGAGGAACACCUGAGGUGAAGACGGGUUGCUGGGCUGACACUGACGCUGAGGCGCGAAAGCCAGGGGAGCAAACGGG